rnacentral:rRNA from 1 species
AGUGAACGCUGGCGGCGUGCUUAACACAUGCAAGUCGAACGAGAACGGAAUAUAGCUUGCUAUAUUUGUCAGCUAAGUGGCGCACGGGUGAGUAAUGUAUAGAUAACCUGCCCUUAAGAAAGGAAUAACAGUUGGAAACGACUGCUAAUGCCCUAUAUGCCUUUAAUACAUAAGUAUGCAAGGGAAACGCUUUAGUGCUUAAGGAUGGGUCUGUAUGGUAUCAGCUUGUUGGUGAGGUAAUGGCUCACCAAGGCUAUGACCCAUAACUGGUUUGAGAGGAUGAUCAUUCACACUGGAACUGAGACACGGUCCAGACUCCUACGGGAGGCAGCAGUGGGGAAUAUUGCACAAUGGACGAAAGUCUGAGGCAGCAACGCCGCGUGGAGGAUGACACAUUUCGGUGCGUAAACUCCUUUUAUAUAGAAAGAUAAUGACGGUACUAUAUGAAUAAGCACCGGCUAACUCCGUGCCAGCCGCCGCCGUAA